UUAAGCAGGGGUGCCCGUUUGCAUAUGGGCUGAGAUUAUACCCUUUAACCUGAUUCGGACAAUGCCGACGUAGGGAGUUUUGAGAUU
rnacentral:ncRNA from 1 species